AUUGAACGCUGGCGGCAGGCUUAACACAUGCAAGUCGAGCGAGCGGCGGACGGGUGAGUAAUGUAUGGGGAACUGCCCGAUGGAGGGGGAUAACUACUGGAAACGGUGGCUAAUACCGCAUACUAUCGGAUGAACCCAGAUGGGAUUAGCUAGUAGGUGGGGUAACGGCUCACCUAGGCGACGAUCCCUAGCUGGUCUGAGAGGAUGAUCAGCCACACUGGGACUGAGACACGGCCCAGACUCCUACGGGAGGCAGCAGUGGGGAAUAUUGCACAAUGGGCGCAAGCCUGAUGCAGCCAUGCCGCGUGUAUGAAGAAGGCCUUAGGGUUGUAAAGUACUUUCAGCAGGGAGGCGUUACCCGCAGAAUAAGCACCGGCUAACUCCGUGCCAGCAGCCGCGGUAAUAC
rnacentral:rRNA from 1 species